CAUUGCAGAGGUCGGAAAUGGUUCCCGACGCACUCGAAAGAGUACCUGAGAUGCAGGAUACACCGCCCUGCCUGCACGU
rnacentral:ncRNA from 12 species